rnacentral:sRNA from 1 species
GCUGGGCACGGUGGUGCAUGCCUGUAAUCCCAAUGGCUUGGGAGGCUGAGACAGGAGGACUGAGAGUUCAAAGACGGCAUCAGCAACUUAGCAAGGCACUAACCAACUCUGUGAGAUCCUGUCUCUA